UUCGGGGACAAUCUCUUGUGUUCAGGAGAACCCUAGAAUCACCUGUGAUGUCACCAGUGUUGUGGUGACACCAGCAGCCUAUGGAGAAUCCCUUUAGAGCCUAUUAGUUUUGCAAGCAGGCAUGUUGUUCAGGCUGCUUAGGCUAUUUUGAAGUGAGAAUGGAAAACAAGGAGAGGCCAUAUCAAGACAGAAGAAGGCUGACCUUCUAUCAUGCUGUAGAACAACAAGAAAGAAAUGGUCCUGGGGAAGGUCCAGAUCUACUGGAAGGCAUCAUCCCAACCCUCCACCAUCUCUAAGGAGGAGGAGAGGUUGAAGAGGUUGGAGAAUCUGACAUUCUCCAGAAGAUGACAAAUGGGAGGGAUGAACUCUGGGGAAUCCUGGCCCAUUACACUAACAAGGAUUUGAACAACAACAGGACUUCAGUGCAUCAUGCUACAGCUUCCUGCUUCUACUGCUAUACCUGCCUCAUGCAACCAUGCCUCCCUCCCAGGAAGACCUCUUAUGCUUCUGGAAGUAAAAGCUCCAAAACAAUCUUCUAUAAGCUCUGCUGGUCAAGAUCUCAACUUCUCCCCUAAGAAGCAGUAUGUAAGCUAAGUGCCACCAUGAUGGGCACCACAGCACGAGGUAGAGCCUGGACUGCCACCGUGAGAGAUGGGCAACACCGCACAAGUUACAGCCUGGACUUCAGGAGAGAACCCCGCAGGACUCAUAGGGUUGGUCGAAUCACUAAUGUAUUUGCACCAGCCGACCUGGGAUGACUGCCAACAGCUUCUGUAGACCUUAUUCACCACAGAGGAGAGAGAAAGGAUUUUCCUCGAGGCUCAGAAAAACAUCCGAGAUGAGGUUGGGCAGCCUGUCCAACCUCCAGCCGAGAUAGUUGAAGGAUUCCCGCUAACCCAGCCCCGAUGGGAUUACAAUACAGCACAAGGUUACAUCCCAACAGCCAGCCUUUGUUCGCUUUUGAAUGGCGAGAUUCUGAGAGUGGACAAGCUGGACAGCUCACAUGGACGAGGUUGCCUCAGGGAUUCAAGAACUCGCCCACCUUGUUUGAUGAAGCCCUACACCGAGACCUUGCCCCCUUCCGAGCCAGUAACCCACAGGUGACUCUUCUGCAGUAUGUAGAUGACCUCCUACUAGCUGCAGAAACAUGUGAGGACUGUGAAACUGGGACUCAAAACCUCCUGGUCGAGCUAGGUUAGCUGGGGUAUCGGGUCUCUGCUAAAAAGGCUCAGUUAUGCCGGACAGAAGUGACCUACUUAGGAUAUGUUCUGAGAGAUGGACAACAGUGGCUCACAGAAGCCAGGAAACAAGCCGUUAUGCAGAUCCUGGCCCCAACCACUGCUAGCCAGGUAAGAGAGUUCCUGGGGACUGCUAGGUUUUAUAGACUCUGGAUUCCCAAAUUUGCCACUCUGGCAGCCCCAUUGUACCCAUUAACCAAAGAAAAAGGAGAGUUCAUCUGGACCAGAGAACAUCAGCUAGUCUUUCAAACUCUCAAAAAGGCGCUACUGCAGCCUCCAGCAUUGGCCCUGCCAGAUGUGAGCAAGCCUUUUACCGUAUACAUUGAUGAAAGAAAUGGGGUGGCAAGGGGAGUCCUUACCCAUGUUUUGGGGCCAUGGAAGCACCCAGUAGCCUACUUAUCAAAGAAGCUGGACCCUGUGGCCAGCGGAUGGCCCUCCUGCCUGCAAGUGAUAGCAGCCACGGCUGUGCUAGUAAGAGAUGCUUACAAACUGACUAUGGGCCAGAAUGUUACCAUAAUGGCCCCGCACUCUCUUGAGAGCAUUGUCAGGUAACCACUGGACCGCUGGAUGACUAACGCCAGAAUGACGCACUACCAGAGCCUAUUGCUGACAGAGCAAGUAAGUUUUGAACCCCCAGCCAAUCUCAACCCUGCUACUUUACUACCUGGGGUUGACGAGGCCCCUGCACAUAAGUGUGAGGAAAUACUGGCAGAAGAGACUGGAAUCUGGCCAGACUUCACAGACCAACAUUGGCCAGGGGAGAUGACCUGGUUCACUGAUGGAAGCAGCUUCAUGGUAGAAGGUAAGCGGAGGGCUGGGGCAGCAUUAGUGGAUUAGUGGAAAGUCUGUCAUAUGGGCCAGCAGCCUGCCGGAGGGUACAUCAGCUCAAAAAGCGGAACUUAUCUCACUAAUUCAAGCCUUAAGGCUGGCAGAAGGAAGGACUCUUAAUGUCUAUACCGUCAGCCGGUAUGCUUUUGCCACGGCCCAUGUUCACAAAGCAAUAUACCAACACCAUGGACUGCUAAUAUCUGCCGGCAAGGAUAUCAAAAAUAAAGAAGAAAUUCUCAGCUUAUUAGAAGCUGUCCAUCUGUUCCAUAGAGUGGCAAUUAUCCAUUGCCCAGGACACCAGAAGGGAACGGGGCCCGCUGAAAAGGGAAACCAAAUGGCAGACCAAGAAGCCAAAAAAGCAGCCCAAGGGCCAAUGACUCUGGUGGCAAGAACCCAACAGCCCGCCAACGAGGAAAUAACUAAAAGAACCCUCACAGAUGAAGAGGGGCGAGAUUACUUAGAUAACAUACACCAUCUGACUCAUUUAGGAACUAAAAAAUUAAUAAAAUUGGUUAGUAAGUCCCCCUAUUACAUUCCUGGAUUAAAAA